ACUUUAAUGUACAUAUUGUUAUAUACAGUAUGUUUACUGUGUGCGUGUGUGCCCAUCUGUUUGUACGUGUGAUAUACUACAUAACCUAUACCCGUAUAGAUUCGUCAUGCCUACAUGAAUUGAUCUCCAGUAACACUGUAUAUGACAUUCUGGGGCUUGUGCACGUCACACAGUUCUGAAGUGGAGAUCCAAAAUACAUGUCAUUAAACCUAUUUCCCUGCCCUGAGUGACCUCGCGUCUACAUUCUCACACUUGACAAUCCACCCAUUUUCAAGGGCACAAGACGAGAGGCCGGAUCCUGAAUCCACUCCCUGCUGAGCCAAGCCCCUUGGUGCCAUAAAUCCUGACGUUAUGGACCGCACAAGGACCCUUUCAUUAUUGUUAUUAUAACCCAGGAUCCUUGGAACUGGCAGUGUGAUGAAGAAAUGGUUCAGCGGUUAUGUACAUGUGUGAAGACACGUGUUCAAAAGGAUUCAGGAUGGCAGGAUUGGUGAUGGGCAAUGAAUGGUGGCAGUGCCGUCUCCAUCUGGCUCUGUGGUUCUCCUUCGCCAUCUCUUUUUCUUUCAUAUCCAAAUACAAUCUCAGAGCAUGUAUUUCAUGCAUACCUGCCAUAAUCACCGCUGCCAUUCUCAGUUAGAUGGCAGCGACACCCUAUAAGCCAUAUCAGCGCUCUACUGAUAUUCUGCCAGUGUAUGCCUCUCACAGGCUCAGUCCCCUGAGAUAGCAGUGUGUCGCCGUUAGCGCUACUGUUCUCUUUGUUCCUGUACAUACACUUCCUUCAUGCAUGGGCUCUAUGCUGGGAAAUCAAACACUUGUACUACAGCAUAUGGUAUUCCUCACACCACUCCCUGUUUUCCUCUUUAUGUAGCCCCAGCGGUCAGUAAAGGGUUCCUGUUUUUGCACAGGCGUUUAUACCUUCAGGGCAGGUUGCUGGAGCAUGAUAUUUGAUCACUUCAGAAUAGGAGCUGCUGCCUCUGUGGCGGAAGCAUACAUUCUGUCGAGGCCCGGUUCUAUCCAUUUCCUCUGGCCAUUCUGACACAAACACAC
ensembl:lncRNA